AGAUUGAACGCUGGCGGAAUGCUUUACACAUGCAAGUCGAGCGGCAGCGCGGGGGCAACCCUGGCGGCGAGCGGCGAACGGGUGAGUAAUCGAUCGGAACGUAUCCUGUAAUGGGGGAUAGCUCGGCGAAAGCCGGAUUAAUACCGCAUACGCUCUCUGGAGGAAAGUGGGGGGACCCGCAAGGGGCCUCACGUUAGAGGAGCGGCCGAUCGCUGAUUAGCUAGUUGGUGGGGUAAGAGCCCACCAAGGCGAUGAUCAGUAGCUGGUCUGAGAGGAUGAUCAGCCACACUGGGACUGAGACACGGCCCAGACUCCUACGGGAGGCAGCAGUGGGAAUUUUUGGACAAUGGCGAAAGCCUGAUCCAGCCAUUCCGCGUGAGUGAAGAAGCCUGUUGUAAGCUCUUCGUCCGGACGAAACGGUUACGACGAAUACCGUCGACGUACUGACGUACCGGAGUAACGAAGACGACCGCGUAACUAACGUCGCCACGCAGCCGCGGUAACUACG
rnacentral:rRNA from 1 species